UUCCAGACUCCUACGGGAGGCAGCAGUGGGGAAUAUUGCACAAUGGGGGAAACCCUGAUGCAGCGACGCCGCGUGAGUGAAGAAGUAUUUCGGUAUGUAAAGCUCUAUCAGCAGGGAAGAAAAUGACGGUACCUGACUAAGAAGCCCCGGCUAACUCCGUGCCAGCAGCCGCGGUAAUACGGAGGAUGCGAGCGUUAUCCGGAUUUAUUGGGUUUAAAGGGUGCGUAGGCGGUCCGGAAAGUCAGCGGUAAAAGCCCGGGCCUCACCCCGGGCGAGCCGUUGAAACUGUCGGACUAGAGACGGCGAGAAGUACGCGGAAUGCGAGGUGUAGCGGUGAAAUGCAUAGAUAUCGCGCAGAACUCCGAUUGCGAAGGCAGCGUACCGGCGCCGGACUGACGCUGAGGCACGAAAGCGUGGGUAUCGAACAGGAUUAGAUACCCGGGUA
rnacentral:rRNA from 1 species